GAAUUCCCAGCACAUUUCAAGGAUCAGGUGUCCACAUCCGAAAUGAACCCAGCCCUUGGUGUUCAAAAUCACUUUUAGGAGAAGUAGAGCUUUUUCUUUCAUGUAUCUGGACCAGUAGUUCACUUACUCUGGAAGUCAGAGGCCCUAUGGACUGCCCAGCCCAGCUGCUGUGGAAUGUGGCAGAGAAAGAGGGUGAGAGGGCCUGAAUGGCUCCCAUGCCAGGAGUAUUAUGCAAACACGGGAGAAAAAACCAUGCCUCCUCUACUGGUCUACAGGAGCACUUGAAAACCUGCUCAUCUGCAAGCAAUGGGGCUCGACUCUACAUCACAGCAGUGGAUACUGCAUCGCCAUCGAGAACCCAAUGACUGGUGAGAAGCAGAACCUCAGGAUUAACCAUGGGUUGCAGAUGGAGUCAGAUCUAGAAGCCAGGACUUCUGCUACUCCGUUCCACAUUCUUUUCCCUUCAUUCCCUGUCUGAGGGAAAGGAAGUGAGAAGGAGGGAGAGGCCAUAUGUUCCUGCUUUGUCCCAGCUCUUCUCCCAGCUCCCUUCUCUCCCGCCCACCCCUCUAGGCUGCUUGUUUGUGCUUCUCCAGUCACCUCAGGUCACCCUGCCUUGCCUGGCUGCUAGAACCUUUGUCAAAACCCAUAUUUAGUUGCUGCAGGUUCCUUGCCUAGUGUCUCUGAAGUUAACGAUGGAAUCUUUGAAAAUGACUUUAGAAGCAAAACAUAAGCAGCAGAAGACAUGAAACUACCUCAAGCCCAUCUGUUCAAGCACGAUCCACCUCAGAGCUCCCAUUUCCCAUGUAAAACAGAAGAUAUGAUUUAUAAUUUAUAUCUCACCGGUACAAUCCUGAUUGAAG
rnacentral:lncRNA from 1 species